rnacentral:rRNA from 1 species
UACAACGAAGAGUUUGAUCCUGGCUCAGGAUGAACGCUAGCGGCAGGCCUAACACAUGCAAGUCGAACGGUAAGUUAAAAGCUUGCUUUUAACACGAGUGGCGCACGGGUGCGUAACGCGUAUGCAAUCUACCCUAUUCUGGAGAAUAGCCCUUAGAAAUGAGGAUUAAUACUCCAUAGUAUUACAAUUUCGCAUGUUAUUGUAAUUAAAGCUUCGGCGGAAUAGGAUGAGCAUGCGUCCCAUUAGAUAGUUGGUGAGGUAACGGCUCACCAAGUCUGCGAUGGGUAGGGGGCCUGAGAGGGUUAUCCCCCACACUGGUACUGAGACACGGACCAGACUCCUACGGGAGGCAGCAGUGAGGAAUAUUGGUCAAUGGACGAAAGUCUGAACCAGCCAUGCCGCGUGCAGGAUGACUGCCCUACGGGUUGUAAACUGCUUUUAUAUAGGAAGAAACCCCUCUACGUGUAGAGGGCUGACGGUACUAUAAGAAUAAGGACCGGCUAACUCCGUGCCAGCAGCCGCGGUAAUACGGAGGGUCCAAGCGUUAUCCGGAUUCAUUGGGUUUAAAGGGUACGUAGGCGGAAUUUUAAGUCAGUAGUGAAAGCCCAUCGCUUAACGAUGGAACUGCUAUUGAUACUGGAAUUCUUGAAUAUAGUUGAAGUUGGCGGAAUACGGCAUGUAGCGGUGAAAUGCAUAGAUAUGCCGUGGAACACCGAUCGCGAAGGCAGCUAACUAAGCUAUUAUUGACGCUGAGGUACGAAAGCGUGGGGAGCGAACAGGAUUAGAUACCCUGGUAGUCCACGCCGUAAACUAUGAUUACUCGGUGCUGGCGAUAUACUGUCAGUGCCUAAGCGAAAGUGAUAAGUAAUCCACCUGGGGAGUACGAUCGCAAGGUUGAAACUCAAAGGAAUUGACGGGGGCCCGCACAAGCGGUGGAGCAUGUGGUUUAAUUCGAUGAUACGCGAGGAACCUUACCUGGGCUUAAAUGCAUAAUGAUGGACUGAGAAAUCAGUCGUUCUUCGGACAGAAUGCAAGGUGCUGCAUGGCUGUCGUCAGCUCGUGCUGUGAGGUGUCGGGUUAAGUCCCAUAACGAGCGCAACCCCUAUUUCUAGUUGCCAGCACAUAAUGGUGGGGACUCUAGAGAAACUGCCCGCGCAAGCGGUGAGGAAGGUGGGGACGACGUCAAGUCAUCACGGCCCUUACGUCCAGGGCUACACACGUGCUACAAUGGUAGAGACAGAGGGCAGCCACUUGGUGACAAGGAGCUAAUCCUUAAACUCUAUCUCAGUUCGGAUUGAAGUCUGCAACUCGACUUCAUGAAGCUGGAAUCGCUAGUAAUCGCAUAUCAGCCAUGAUGCGGUGAAUACGUUCCCGGGCCUUGUACACACCGCCCGUCAAGCCAUGGAAGCCGAGGGUACCUGAAGUCGGUAACCGCAAGGAGCCGCCUAGGGUAAAAUCGGUAACUGGGGCUAAGUCGUAACAAGGUAGCCGUACCGGAAGGUGCGGCUGGAAUACCUCCUUUUUAGAG